rnacentral:lncRNA from 1 species
CAAUGGAAUGAGACUGAAUCUUAGCUCCCGCUGCAGCUCAAUCUACUGCUGCCAGUAUUUCUGCCUCAGAUUUACUACCAUAUCGCAGAGCACCUAAGUGCAACCACGGAAGAUAGAGCUGUAGGAUGGAAGUUCAAGGUCCCAUCCCCACCCACUGAAGUCACUGCAUUCUGCACAGAACCAAAGCAGUACCCUUCUCCUCGUGACGUUUGGACAUUCUGCGGAGAUCAUGGUCUGCGCUGCUCUGCUGCUUCUCAUGGAAGGGAACUCCCUGUGUGCCAGCUACAAUGAUAUCCAAGCUGUAACACUUCUCCUUGUGUGGGUUUCCUAUCAAAAGCCAGCAGCUGCCCACUGGCCUCAGAACACACAUCGCUGGCAGUCAGUCACAUAGCUCCAUGUGAAUGCUGCUGCUUAUCUCAACUGGCUGCAACGGCAGCAGGUUUCCCAGUAAAGCUGCAAGCAAAUGGUCCGUUGUGCAGAUUCAGAUACGAAGAGCCAUGCAGCCAGGUGACAGCACACAUUGGCAGCCCAAAACAGAAAGGGAGUCCUCAUGGGAAUAGCUCCCUAGGUGUAAAACCAAGAGUUACGCCCUUGGCCACAUCCUCUGAAGUAGCUGCUGAAAUAAAUCAGGUACUGUCUAUGACUGUUGCUGUUUCCAACAAACUGCCAUUGAACUACAACUGAACACAGUCAGAAAAUGUGCAAGGAAAUUCAGAUUAGAGAGAUACAAACUAUUUACAAAUAUUUGAUUUGAUGACAAUACAGCAUUUUUUUUACUGUAUAAUAUUAAUAUCCUUACAGAGACAGCCUUGGUUUUACUAUUCUGCUUCUAAUUGUAAGACAAGAAUGCGAUAGAGGUGACAUAAGAAUGUAGUUUAUCAAAAAGCAGACUUUCAUAAGACAGAACUGGAGAAAAGCCUGAGGGGAACUGUUACUCCGUUCUAAUUCACAGUCUGUGCAAUACUAGCCAUAGUCACAAGCCAGCAAAAAUGAAACAAAGAUUUUUGAGUGGUUCCCUGUAGCAGCUGCUAUUUGGUACAUAUAAAAAAACACACAUUUGUGUCCCUCUUUGAGGGUUUACUUUACGUGUUUAGUGAUUUCUGUCUGCUGUUGCCGUGAGGGAUACAUGACCCCUCAGACACAUUGAUUCUCUUCCCAUGCAGGCAUAGAAUUAUUAAUAGAAGAAACUGUUCUAGGAUAGAAGAAAGGAAGGAAGGGAAGCUUAUUGUGCUGGCAUUUUAGGAAAUGUGCUGCACUAUCUUACAUGGCUCUGUACUGAUAUACUACAAAAGUCUUGAAUACUUUGGGGAAAUUUACAAAUUACUAAGAUAUAUUCUUUUGCUUAAGCUAUUAUAUUAAGCACAGAGGCUUUUCAGUGUAACUCAACAAGGGGGAAAUGAACGGUGGGGGAAGAGAAAGAAGAAAGUGCUUUGUGGAUGCUGAGAUUAGUUCACCAAUGCAGCUGGUUUGUGAAUGUGCCCUAAGUCCUGCUUGAUCUUCUUAAUACGAUGUAAUCCUUAAUUAUCUAUUCUGACACCUAAUGAGAGGACACAGGUGUGUGCACUGCCAAGGCAUGCAUCUGUCUGUCUUGCCUUGCUAAUCCCUUUAUCUAGGCUGUGCCUCUGCAAACUCUAUUGCUGUGAAUGACUCACAGAUGUACUGUCUCUCUGUGCUGCUGUAUCUC